UACGGGGGGGGCAAGCGUUGUUCGGAAUUACUGGGCGUAAAGGGUUCGUAGGUGGCCAACUAAGUCAGACGUGAAAUCCCUCAGCUUAACUGGGGAACUGCGUCUGAUACUGGUUGGCUUGAGUGCAGGAGAGGAACGCGGAAUUCCAGGUUUAGCGGUGAAAUGCGUAGAUAUCUGGAGGAACACCGGUGGCGAAGGCGGCGUUCUGGACUGCAACUGACACUGAGGAACGAAAGCCAGGGGAGCAAACAGG
rnacentral:rRNA from 1 species